GUCAGAAAAGAAAGCAAACUUUGUUUGACUCGAAACCUAUUAACCUUAUGAUAGCUGUUCUUCAAUACAAACAAUCAUUAAUUAAUCAUCAAAACAGCUAAACUGAUAACAUGAGGCAAAUUAAAUUUGCGUUUCAUUUAAGUACCUGAUUACCUAUGAUUUAAUGUUUUGCAGUUUUCUUAUGCAAAAUGUUUUUUAUAUAAAUGAGAGCGUGCCUGAAAUGCUCUGUGCAUUAGUUUAGUACGACCGGUUUCCCGAUCUGUUAGAAUCAUUAAAAUCAAUUGUAGAAUAAAAUUGAUACGAAAAAUGUAUGUUCUAACGAAACGAAUUAAAUUUAAAUUUGUAAAUAAUCAAGCAAAACGAUUAACAUAAAAGGGGUCAUAAGUUUGUGAAACAGCAGGCUUAAAGUCUCGAGUACUUAAAGGAAACGGAAAUUUCAUUUUCCUCCUGUUAUCAGUUUAGCUGUUUUUAUACUUCACAUUGAUGAUUUUUUGUCUGAAAGAACAGCUGACAGAACGAUACUAGGUGUUGAGUUAAACGGAAGUUUGCUUUGUUUUCUGUCUACGAAAAACUGUUGAACUAUUUGCUGUAAGAUGAAUGGUUUUAAAUUACUAAUACGUGUAUAAAUAAUGUUUACACACUACACAGUAGAUAGCAUUAAUGCGAAAAUUUUUGCCAGCUAGAUGAUCAACAUUAUUCAUUGAAUGAACAAAUUUUCGGUAUAUAAAGCCUGGUUUGAAGGAAUUGGUUAUCAGUUCUUAAAAAUUCUACUUCAAUCCAAUACAUUUUCUUUUACACAGUCCGAUAACAUGAAAUUCGUUUCUUUGUAUUUUAUUCUGUUCUUCAUGGGCAUUCUAAUCUGCCCAUCUUUCGCAAGACGAAAAACUUGUAAAACAAGCUCAGAUUGCGGCCUAUCCAUUUUUUGCAUUAAGGGUGAAUGUAGAGCAUACUGAUCGAGAAUGAUUCAAUGCUUCAAUUAUCCUCACAUGGAAUUGUGUCUUCGAAAGUAGUCGUUUUCAUUUUUUGUCCAUGUUAAGGGGGGAUCAAGCUAAUUAAGUUAUGUCAUCUAUUCCGAAAUAGAUCAUGAAUAAAGAAUAUAAAUAAACUCGCAAA